GGAAAAUAAAAGGAGAAAGAAAGAAACCCUCACCAAUUCCCUGGGAAGCAUUUGCAAACAACAUCUCAUUGAACAAGGAAUGCAUGCAAGGUUCACGCGGGUGGCAGGCAGGGUAGUAAGUGACCUCAUUUCUGUUGCUGACACGGGCCCACCUGCUGCCAGGCGUGGCAGAGCAAGCCGCUACACGGGCCUCGCCAAGCGGGAGCUUCUGCCCAGCAAGAUAUUUCUUCCUGGAAGGAAGCACUGAGGCUCAGCCAGACCUGCAGGGAUCUGAAGAGCAUUGUUCUUUCCUGUUUUAACAUCCCAGGUCAACAGCCAUUCCCCAGUGACUGCUGAGUCCAGGGCUCUGAGCUUCCAGCUGAGAAAGCAGAUGAAAAAGCCACAAACCUGCCUUGAGAGGCUGGUGGUCUGGAAGGGGAGAGGACACAGAGAACAGACAAUGGAAUCAGUGCAGGAGUGAUGAGGGAAAAAGGAAGGACCACCUGAGGCUGACAAGCCCUGGAACCCCAACCCUCCAUUUACCGAGAAGUGCCUAAAGGUCAUGGGUGGCAUCCUGGGUGGUGAAGCACCUGUUACUUGGAAGUACUAAUGCUCCAUGGUCGUCAUCACCUUGCCAAGCCUAGCUCCUCCUAGGUCCAUGGUUGGAUCUGCAUGUCCCAGGAAAUAUUUACUCUGCUCUAAUUACGUGAUGGGUGCCGUGGGAGUACAGCGGUGAACUUCAAAAGACAGUUUCUGCCUUCAAGGAUCCUCCACUGGGGACACAGAUAAUAAGGCUGUCUCCUGAAUGCUGGAGCAUUUUCUCGUGGGUAACCAUGCAUCAAACAGCAAUGAGAGAAGGACCUGAAUUCAUGCUGAUUUUCACUUGCCUUAAUGUAAAACAGGAUUGCCUGCAUUUCAGAUUUUGCUAGUUUAUCUUGCACGGCCAAAGCCCCAGUUAUCUCUGCUUCACUAAGUCUUGAGAUUGGUUUGGAACUUGAACAUAUAUUCUUCAAAACCAUUAAAAGUGGUUUAAUUGGCUGUUCAGGGAUGUCUUCCACUCUCCUCUUCAAAUGGAUCAUCCCUCUCUGUCUCUCCCAAGAACUGGGAACUAGAAGCUCCUCGCCUGGAUGAUCCAUUUCCCUGGAUUUAUUUAUCUUGCUCUGGGCCCCAGAAGCAUUAGGCUUCGCCUAGCAGAUCCAGCCUCUCUUCGCUGCUGCACAUCCAAAUCCUACUUCAGACACCCACUGUAGCAAAACUACAGCCCUGGAUGAAGGAGCAAUGCCAGUCAGCAUCAUCCAAGGAGAAGGUGAAUGUAAUGACUGAUUAACGAACGAAGACUCCACCUUCUCUUCCUCUCGUGGAUCCCAGCGAACUUCCAGGGCAUGGGUUGGCAUAGGUUUGAAGAAGGUUUCUCGGCCUCUGCACUGUCUACAUUUUGGGCCCGCUGAGUCUUUGUAGUUGGGGCUGGCCUGUGCAUUGUAGGAUGUUUAGCAGUUUCCCUGGUGUCCACCUACCAGAUGCCAGUUGCACCUACCAAGUUCUGACACCCAAAAUGUCUUCAGACAUCGCCAAAUGUCCCCUGGGGGACAAAAAUCACCCCUGGUUGAGAACCACUGGGUUGGAAUACAAGCCUGAAAAACCGCUCCCAGUCUGCCAGGUAAGUGACCCACACUUGCUUUACAAAACCCCAUGCACGGAGCAACAGAACCUUGGGACCUGGGACUAAGCUUGUAGCUCCGUGUUGAAAGCCUGCAGCGUCACUUGCAUUUUAAAUCAAGGCUCGGUGGAGAUUCCAGUUACAGCCUGCAACUGCAUCUGCCUUGGGCUUCCUCCUAAUUUUAACCAGCAGCUGGAUUUGCAUAGGACAUUUGCAUCUGAAAUUACCCAUGAUUCUUUGGGAGCCAUAGUCUACAGCAGAUGAUGGCAAAAAAUAUAUAUAAUUCCAUUUCAGCUUGCAAAGUAGGGGGGAGGAAGGAGAUGAAGACUUCAGGGAGGGAGGGUACUUUAAGAAAAUUUCAGUGCUUUAUAUAAUUG
ensembl:lncRNA novel transcript